rnacentral:lncRNA from 1 species
CGGCCGGCCGGGCCGCAGCCUCCAGCAGGGGGCGGCGGCGCUGCGCAGGAGCCGCUCCCCCCGGCCCGCCCCGCUCCGCUCCGCUCCGCUCCGCUCCCCGCCCGGCCGCAGACAAAGGCCGGCCUCCCGCCAGUCCCGCCGGCUGCCAGCUCCGCGCCGGGCCCGCGCGCGGCAUGGGCGGCUCCGGGGGCCCCGCGGAGCCAUGAGGCGCGGGCUGCGGGCGCAGCGGCGAGCAGCAUGGCCGGGGCCGGGGCCAGGGCUGGCCGGCGCGGCAUCCCCAAACGCAAGCCCAACUUCACGCUGCAGGAGAUCGACAUCCUGAUGAGCGAGGUGCUGCGCUACGAGCAGCUGCUCUUCGGGGCCAGCUCCACCAACGUGAACGCCUACGAGAAGCAGAAGAUCUGGUGGCGCAUCACCAACAAGAUCAACGCGGCGGGCCGCAACCAGCGCGACAUCGGCGAGGUGAAAAACCGCUGGCGCGGCCUGCGCCGCCGGGCCAACGACAAGAUCACCCGGCACCGCCAGGAGCGCCAGGCACCGCCCGACGCCCGCGGCUACUCUGUGCCCCGCAGCGCCGAGCCCCGCGAGCCCGAGCUCGGCCCGCAAUGGGGCCUGCACGGCGUGUGCCCGCUGGACGCGCCGCCCGGCUCCGGCGAGGUGCCCGCGCAGCAGGGGGCAGGUGUGAAGGAGGAGCCAGUAAAGGAGGAGCCAGUGGACGUGAAGCCAGAACCAUUCCAUACGCCUUCCACUGAGGUCAUCCAUCAGCAAGUGACGCGGGGAGGAGAGAGGCGGCUCCUCAGGAGUGCUGGCCAUGUGCCGGACGAUCCAUGUGAAGGCUGGAGCCAGAGCCCGCAGAAUCCCUCGCAAAAUGAACUCGCCAUCAGCGAGCUGGGAGGGCAGCAGGAGCCCCUGGGCACAGAUUUCACGAGUAUUAUCUUUGACCAAGAGGCAGAGCACCUGAAUGAUUGUAACGCAAGUGAGAGCGUGACCCCUGUAUCUGUGGCGCUGCAGGAGGGGGGGCUGGAGAAUGGCCAUCUUAGCCCCGUGGAGAAGCGGAUUCUCCAAUCCAAUGAGCAGCUGGUGCAGGAGAUGCGAGCCUUCCGCAGGGAGUACACGGAAAGCCGCAGGGAAACUGCCUCCAUCCUGCGCAUCAUCGCCAAGGCCCUCAGCAGUGUGAGCAGCAGCCUCUGUGAGAUCCGCGAUCUCUACCUCCGACAGCAAGUGACCCCCAAGCAGUGA